rnacentral:rRNA from 1 species
UACGAAGGGGGCUAGCGUUGUUCGGAUUUACUGGGCGUAAAGCGCGCGUAGGCGGCUUUGUAAGCUAGAGGUGAAAGCCCGGGGCUCAACCCCGGAACUGCCUUUAAGACUGCAUCGCUUGAAUCCAGGAGAGGUGAGUGGAAUUCCGAGUGUAGAGGUGAAAUUCGUAGAUAUUCGGAAGAACACCAGUGGCGAAGGCGGCUCACUGGUCCGGUACUGACGCUGAGG